UGGCGAAAGGGUGCGUAACACGUGGGAAUUUACCGAGAAGUGGGGAAUAGCUCGACGAGAAGUCGGAAUUAAUACCGCAUACGAUCGCAAGAUCAAAGCCGGGGACCGCAAGGCCUUGGCGCUUUUUGAGAAGCCCGCGGCCAUCAGCUAGUUGGCGAGGUAAAAGCUCACCAAGGCUAUGACGGGUAGCUGGUCUGAGAGGACGACCAGCCACACUGGAACUGAGACACGGUCCAGACACCUACGGGUGGCAGCAGUCGAGAAUUUUUCACAAUGGACCGAAAGUUCUGAUGGAGCGACGCCGCGUGGAGGAUGAAGGUUCUUGGAUUGUAAAACCUCCUGUCACUGCAGAACAAGGCUACACAUGUGAAUAGCGCGUGUAGUUUGAUGGUAUGCGGAGAGGAAGGGACGGUAACUCUGUGCCAGCAGCCGCGGUGAGACAGGAGGUCCCGAGCGUUGUU
rnacentral:rRNA from 1 species